ensembl:lncRNA LOC108351161 uncharacterized LOC108351161
CGGCAGUGGCCCACGGAAUCUUCCCAACAGUCCCCUUAAAAAGAUUCUCUUUUAAUCCCGAUUUAACUGGGGGGAAACCUGAAGGACAGACAGAUUGAAUCAUUUGUUACCCAGCUAUCGAAUGGUGAGAUUGGGAUUUAAUCGGUUACGGCGUGGCACUAGGACAAGACAGGAAUAAACUAUGCCUCUGGGAAAGAUGCGCAUUGCAUGGAUCCACUGCGUGAAGAACAUCUGGAAAGGGCCAGAGAGAACACAUCACAUCAUUCCUGUCAUCCUUGUCAACACUGCCAUCCCCGAUGCUGAUGCGGUCCUCCUCCCUGGGUGUGGUACAGGCAUGCAAUCUUGACGUUCAGGAUGGUGAGGGAGAACUGCUUUCUCCUGACCUCAAUCUUUUCAGCCUCUUAUGUAAGGGCUUGGCUUGAAUGCAGAGUGAAAAGAUGGUCCUGUGCUGUUCUGACUGGUGCGUCGUGUCUCUAAAUAAACAUGCUAAACGAUCAG